rnacentral:rRNA from 1 species
UUGGAGGGCAAGUCUGGUGCCAGCAGCCGCGGUAAUUCCAGCUCCAAUAGCGUAUAUUAAAGUUGUUGCAGUUAAAAAGCUCGUAGUUGAAUUUCGGGGUCAAUAAGUUGGUCGUGCCAAUGGUAUGUACUGGCUUUAUUGAUUCCUACCUCUUGACGAACUGUGAUGCCAUUAAUUUGGUGUUGCAGGAAAUCAGGACUGUUACCUUGAAAAAAUUAGAGUGUUUAAAGCAGGCUUACGCUUGAAUACAUUAGCAUGGAAUAAUGAAAUAGGACGUUUGAACCUAUUUUGUUGGUUUCUAGGAUCGACGUAAUGAUUAAUAGGGAUAGUUGGGGGCAUUAGUAUUCAAUUGUCAGAGGUGAAAUUCUUGGAUUUAUUGAAGACUAACUACUGCGAAAGCAUUUGCCAAGGAUGUUUUCAUUAAUCAAGAACGAAAGUUAGGGGAUCGAAGACGAUCAGAUACCGUCGUAGUCUUAACCAUAAACUAUGCCGACUAGGGAUCGGAUGAUGUUAAUUUUUUAAUGACUCAUUCGGCGCCUUACGGGAAACCAAAGUGUUUGGGUUC